CUUGGUCAUUUAGAGGAAGUAAAAGUCGUAACAAGGUCUCCGUUGGUGAACCAGCGGAGGGAUCAUUACCGAGUUUACAACUCCCAAACCCCUGUGAACAUACCAAUUGUUGCCUCGGCGGAUCAGCCCGCUCCCGGUAAAACGGAACGGCCCGCCAGAGGACCCCUAAACUCUGUUUCUAUAUGUAACUUCUGAGUAAAACCAUAAAUAAAUCAAAACUUUCAACAACGGAUCUCUUGGUUCUGGCAUCGAUGAAGAACGCAGCAAAAUGCGAUAAGUAAUGUGAAUUGCAGAAUUCAGUGAAUCAUCGAAUCUUUGAACGCACAUUGCGCCCGCCAGUAUUCUGGCGGGCAUGCCUGUACGAGCGUCAUUUCAACCCUCAAGCCCCCGGGUUUGGUGUUGGGGAUCGGCGAGCCUCACGGCAAGCCGGCCCCGAAAUACAGUGGCGGUCUCGCUGCAGCUUCCAUUGCGUAGUAGUAAAACCCUCGCAACUGGUACGCGGCGCGGCCAAGCCGUUAAACCCCCAACUUCUGAAUGUUGACCUCGGAUCAGGUAGGAAUACCCGCUGAACUUAAGCAUAUCAAUAAGCGGAGGA
rnacentral:rRNA from 1 species